ACACAGAGCCGCCUUUCAGCCGCCCGAGAACGGCCCGCCGCACUCCGCGACUGCGGCGCCUGCUCUCGGGCCGGGGUCUGCGCGCACCACGCGGCCGUCAGGAAGGGUAAGAGAAGGGAACCCCGCUUUGCAGGGCUCCAACUUCGGCGGACGCGUUACGGCGAGGGCGAAAUGAGUCGGCCGUGAACGGUGUUUCCUGUUCCGAAUCCCGAGAGCCCUGGAAAGUUUUGAAGGAGGAGGCAUGGCCCGGCAGCCUUAUCGUUUUCCCCAGGCAAGGAUUCCGGAGAGAGGAUCAGGUGUUUUCGGGUUAACCGUCAGGUUGGAGUCCAGUGGCACAUUCUCAGCUCACUGCAACCUCUGCCUCCUGGGUUCCAAGUGAUUCUUGUGCCUCAGCCUCCCGAGUAGCUGGGGUUACAGAAAUGCAAUGGCACAUCGUGAUUCUGAGAUGAAAGAAGAAUGUCUAAGGGAAGACCUGAAGUUUUACUUCAUGAGCCCUUGUGAAAAAUACCGAGCCAGACGCCAGAUUCCAUGGAAACUGGGUUUGCAGAUUUUGAAGAUAGUCAUGGUCACCACACAG
rnacentral:sRNA from 1 species